GAGCCUGUUUUACUUAAACAUCAGGGUUCUAUCCAAUUCUGUUCUUCACAAAACACAUUUGGGGAAGAGUAUCAUGGCUCGAGUGAUUGACCAAUAAAGAUUACUCUAACGCAAGAAUUGUAAAAGUCGGCAAGACCACACAGGAUUCCAGGGUAACUUCUAAGCAACUGAAGGCCUGCUUUAGUUGGCUAGUGUUAAUGUUCAUGAGUCCACCGUCAGGAGAACACUGAACAAAAAUAGUGUGCAUGGCAGGGAUGCGAGGAGAAAGCCACUGCUCUGCAAAAAGAAGAUUGCUGCUCGUCUGCAGUAGAUCACCCAAAAUAACAUAAAAGAACCUUUUUGGUUUGAAUAAAAAAAUGUAUGUUUGGAGAAAGGAAAACUAUGGAAGUAAAACAGUGUCACCAGAUUUAGAAUUUUAAAAGCACUUGAAUUUUUAGCACUGAAUUAUUUUACAUUGAAUUAUUGCAUGUGAUUUUUUUUGCCUCUGAAUUAAACACUUUAAUUUUUCAGUAUAUCAUUUUCACUUAUUUUAUUUUAAUGUAAAAAAAUUCAAAAGCAAAAAUUCAAGUUUUAAAAAUUCAAUUAAAAUAAAUUCAGGUUGCUCAAAUUCGACCUGUCAAAUUCGACUGCUAAAAUACAACGCUCAAAAUUCGCUGUAAACAUCCGGGACACACAGGAUGAGCAAUCGAUUCAGUCUUCAAUCGAGCCAACAACCAGCCAAUCACAUCACGCUCCGAAGAUCACGUGACAGGUAGCGCCUCAGUACAGCAGAGCCGCUCAACGCAAGUCACAGCCCCCUCCGCUGCUGCUCUCGAGAAGGUGAGUGUAAAACAGCUGAAAACAGGGCAUUUACCUCACCACUGUGGCCAUGUAAUAUCACUUAAACGGUGUAGAAAUCCUCACUUUAACCACGGUUUGCUCUGUGGUUUGUAAACAUAUUAAAUUAAGAUAGAUAUCCAGAUAUACCUUGUUAAACUAACUAACUAAAUAAAUAAAGCUCCUCUGUUCAUUUCAGAAAGAGCUUCAAACACGAACACUAGAUCAAUUAUUUAUAAAUACAGCCAGACUGUGUGGAAGAUAAUUACUACUGUAGAAUCUGAGAUAGUAACUUAGUUAGCUAAAUUAUAGCUACCUAUCUUGCUAGUUAGCUGUGGGACUGUGCGAUUAUAGACAAGAUACUACCUAGUUAGCGGUUUGUUUAGCAAUACCUUAUUUACACUUUGCUGCAAAGUAUGUUGCUUAGUGUACUGGCCACUGUCUAAAUAAAUAUAUUGAGCUAUAUUACACUUAAGCCAGGCGGACACUGUGCGGUCGGAUGCGAUCUGGUCGGAUGCGACUGAAUUUCAUGAUCGGGCCGAAUUUUAGCUUGAUCGUGCGUCGUUUGUCGUGCAGUGUGAGAGGGGAAGCGAUGUCCGAUUAAUUGCCCAUACAAGCUGCGAAUGAGCAGUCGGACGCGACCAGGGAUUUCUGACAUGCCAGAAAUUUUGGUCGCUUGUCUCACAGUGUGAGCUGUUUUGCGGGCCGAUUUCUUAACGUCACGACCUGUUUUCCCAAAAAUCUGCACAGUAACUAUAAAUUAUUAUUAGUCAUAUUUAUUUCUGUCAGUUAUAAGGAUUUAUAUUUAUGUUCGGUACACAGACUUAUAGCUUAAUAUAGCAGACACAGGAAUUCUGCUGUUUAAGAAUUUCAACAGAUGCUUAUUCUCAGUCAAUAGCUGGAGUUUUUGAAAAGAAAAAUUAAAAGAGAAAAUAACUUUGACAAACAUAAAUUUAUUUUAUUUCACUUUGCUAUUAUAUCUGAAAAAUAAAGCACAUUGUCAACAUCUGGUGCUGCCCGUCAAUUAUAUAAAACUUAAAACAUGCACAGAAAUAUAAAGCUAUAUUUUAUAAUUAGUUUCUUUUCGCCAGUGCAAAUUUAUUAAAAUUAUAAAUAUAUUAAUUUAUUAAUUAAAAUCUCGUCCAGUGCUCCAGAAUAUUAGCCACGCAAAGCCAGCUUAGCAGCGCGUGGCAUUGCGCGCGGCAUUGCGCGCAGAAUAACCUCUGUCUUCUAAUAUAAACGUUUUAAUAAAUAAGGUCGGAGAAGUGUAGCAAAAUUAAUGCUAUUAAACUUACUAAAGCUAAUAAAUGUACUGAUAAUUAAUAAAGAUAAAUCGGAGAAAAUGCGCUGCGCCUCUCUCUCGCUCUCUUUUGCAGCGCGGAGCUGAAUUCAGCGCGAGGCUACAGAAACUCAGUUCAGUUGAAUAAAAAUAAGGGCCUGUAAGUACAAGCAAAGGACCUGUAAGUAAAUAUAGUCAAAUAUAAAGAAUAGUUUGAGGUUUUGGUGAGCUGUUUUCAUGAUUUGAAACUGAAACUAACUGAAACUUUGAAUAUUCUGCAGAAAGCCUGGGUUAUUUUAAACGAAUUUUUAAUUAGUUUAUAUUUUAUAUUUAUUCAUUUUAUUUUUUUUCUUCUUUUAUUAAUCAAAUCAUUAAAUAUAUAUCUUCAUAAGAUAUAAUUUUUUCACCUUUUAUGUCAAUUUUUAUGAUCUUUUUAAAAGGUCCUAUUUUUCCUUUUUUACGUAUAUAUUUUAUUCGUCUAUAAUAAAUGUCAGUUUUUAUUUCUAUUUUUUUAUAAAUAUUUUUAAUCCCUUUUAAACUGUUAAUGCUCAGCGGCACUGUAAAUGAGGGUACCUAUCCAGUGUGAAUAAUCGAUUGCUUGUUUAAUAUUCAGUGUUGCAAAACCCGUUUUUACAUAAACAAUAAACAGAAUAAAAAAUAAAAUUAUUUUAUUUUAUUUAAGCUGCUGGUGUUUCUUUCGCAGCCUGACGCGCAGUCAUUUUUCUAUGCGCUCUCCUUCUGUAAAACGGACAACCCGUAGAGUCCACGUCGCCUCAGCCACCUGCGAGUCCAUGUAGGUCUCUUCCGUGGACUUUCAGCGCACAACAGGGCACAAAUAAGCAAAGAAGCGCUUUCUUUUGCAAGGCGUUGUGUUGAAGCGAGAGUUUGUACGCAAAGAAAGCUCCGCCUACGGGCUGCGUUUAGACGUGCAGUGUAAGCUCCCCGUCGCAGCCGGUCAGUCGGACCGUACAGUGUGUGCAGAUGAAUCGCAGGCGUUGUUCAUACACGACAAACGAUUCAAACGUGCAGUGUGAGCUCUCCAGAACGCACCCGAUUAAAAAAAUCGCACAGUAAGAUAUGACCAUUAUUUAUUUUAUGAUAUUAAUUUUAAUGUUUAUAUUUAAUAUAUAUUUUAUACAUUUGUUAACAAUUCAACUCAGGCUUUUACUGAGGAUAUCAACAGUAAAUAAUAGUCCUAAAAUGCUUGUGUAAUUAAAAUACAGCAUGAUUAGUCCUGUUUACUAGUGCAUCUCAAAAGUGAAAAAUAUAUAUUUGUGUUUAAUAUCGUUCAGUAAACGGUCACCUUAUGUUUAAAGCGACACAUUUAACUUUUUUUUUAUUUUAAGUUUAAACUACAUAUUCUAGUAAACUGGGUUAAGGUUAGGACAGUAAUUCUGGUUUAAUGAACUUUUAGCCAGGUAAAAUUAUUUGGAAUAUGUCACUUUGCAUGUAGUGUAAUGUAUAAUUUCUGUUAAAUUAUGAUAUUCUCAUGAUCUUCAGAUUUUCUGAGAUGCAUUAGUAAUUGGUUUGUGCCAAAACCAAUGCAAUAAUAAUUGCAAAAAAUGUUUUAUAUAAAUGAAGUAAAUACUGAAUCCAAACAACACCAAGUUUAACACAGUCAUACUUCUUGUCUUCAUUUUCUUAAACAGGAUAUUUUCUCCCAGAAAAAGAAAGGAUAAUAAAAGGUUUCCUUUCUCCAAACUUUUAAAGAACAAAUAAAGAAAUCCAAUUUCAUGCA